UACGUAGGGUCCGAGCGUUGUCCGGAAUUACUGGGCGUAAAGAGCUCGUAGGCGGUUUGUCGCGUCUGCUGUGAAAUCCCGAGGCUCAACCUCGGGCCUGCAGUGGGUACGGGCAGACUGGAGUGCGGUAGGGGAGAAUGGAAUUCCUGGUGUAGCGGUGGAAUGCGCAGAUAUCAGGAGGAACACCGAUGGCGAAGGCAGUUCUCUGGGCCGUAACUGACGCUGAGGAGCGAAAGCGUGGGGAGCGAACAGG
rnacentral:rRNA from 1 species